rnacentral:rRNA from 1 species
GACGAACGCUGGCGGCGUGCUUAACACAUGCAAGUCGAACGGAAAGGCCCUGCUUUUGUGGGGUGCUCGAGUGGCGAACGGGUGAGUAACACGUGAGUAACCUGCCCUUGACUUUGGGAUAACUUCAGGAAACUGGGGCUAAUACCGGAUAGGAGCUCCUGCUGCAUGGUGGGGGUUGGAAAGUUUCGGCGGUUGGGGAUGGACUCGCGGCUUAUCAGCUUGUUGGUGGGGUAGUGGCUUACCAAGGCUUUGACGGGUAGCCGGCCUGAGAGGGUGACCGGCCACAUUGGGACUGAGAUACGGCCCAGACUCCUACGGGAGGCAGCAGUGGGGAAUAUUGCACAAUGGGCGGAAGCCUGAUGCAGCAACGCCGCGUGCGGGAUGACGGACUUCGGGUUGUAAACCGCUUUAGCCUGUGACGAAGCGUGAGUGACGGUAAUGGGUAAAGAAGCACCGGCUAACUACGUG